AAUGAACGCUGGCGGCAUGCCUAACACAUGCAAGUCGAACGAAGGCUUCGGCCUUAGUGGCGCACGGGUGCGUAACGCGUGGGAAUCUGCCCUCAGGUUCGGAAUAACAGCGAGAAAUUGCUGCUAAUACCGGAUGAUAUCGCGAGAUCAAAGAUUUAUCGCCUGAGGAUGAGCCCGCGUAGGAUUAGCUAGUUGGUGUGGUAAAGGCGCACCAAGGCGACGAUCCUUAGCUGGUCUGAGAGGAUGAUCAGCCACACUGGGACUGAGACACGGCCCAGACUCCUACGGGAGGCAGCAGUGGGAAAUAUUGGACAAUGGGCGAAAGCCUGAUCCAGCAAUGCCGCGUGAGUGAUGAAGGCCUUAGGGUUGUAAAGCUCUUUUACCCGGGAUGAUAAUGACAGUACCGGGAGAAUUAGCUCCGGCUAACUCCGUGCCAGCAGCCGCCGUAA
rnacentral:rRNA from 1 species